rnacentral:lncRNA from 1 species
CUUCCGCAGAGACGCUGGCAGUUCCUGACAGAGGCAAGCGUGGCCUUUCUAGGUCAGCAGAUAAUGCUUUUUAUCGAUCGCGUGGAACAUUUUUUCUUCAGGCUGCCCCUUCGUGUUGGCUAAUGACAUAAACUAAUUUGAAAGCUGUUAGGGUAUAAUACUAAUAUUUAUGGAAGCUCACAAAGAGACACUUGAUGGAGAAGCCUGAAUCGGUUCAAAUGCGCGUUGCUGGGAAACUCUGUCGGAAGGCAAACAGCUGCAUUGAUUUCCAGGAUACGGGGACUCUAAUGGCAAUAUUGCAUAGCAGAGAGAUGAAGCAUUCUUCCAAGGCCACAGAGUGAGGACAUCUUGGAAUUCUAGUCUGCCGGGCUUCUUCAGCCUUUCCCUCAGCCCUGGUCUCUUCACCAGCUGCCAAAUGGUCAUAAUUAUGUGGUCAGAGGAAAAAAACAAUUUUUUUUUUUUUUAGUACUGGAGAUUGAAUUCAGUGAUUCAUUCCCAUCCUUGAACUAAGGUACAUCCUCAGCCAAAAGAAAAUCUUUUAAAAAUGAAAUAAAAUAUGAG